GACGAACGCUGGCGGCGUGCUUAACACAUGCAAGUCGAACGGAAAGGCCCUGCUUUUGUGGGGUGCUCGAGUGGCGAACGGGUGAGUAACACGUGAGUAACCUGCCCUUGACUUUGGGAUAACUUCAGGAAACUGGGGCUAAUACCGGAUAGGAGCUCCUGCUGCAUGGCGGGGGUUGGAAAGUUUCGGCGGUUGGGGAUGGACUCGCGGCUUAUCAGCUUGUUGGUGGGGUAGUGGCUUACCAAGGCUUUGACGGGUAGCCGGCCUGAGAGGGUGACCGGCCACAUUGGGACUGAGAUACGGCCCAGACUCCUACGGGAGGCAGCAGUGGGGAAUAUUGCAAAAUGGGCGGAAGCCUGAUGCAGCAACGCCGCGUGCGGGAUGACGGCCUUCGGGUUGUAAACCGCUUUCGCCUGUGACGAAGCGUGAGUGACGGUAAUGGGUAAAGAAGCACCGGCUAACUACGUG
rnacentral:rRNA from 1 species